UACGGGGGGGGCAAGCGUUGUUCGGAAUUACUGGGCGUAAAGGGUUCGUAGGUGGCCUGCUAAGUCAGACGUGAAAUCCCUCAGCUUAACUGGGGAACUGCGUCUGAUACUGGUGGGCUUGAGUGCAGGAGAGGAACGCGGAAUUCCAGGUGUAGCGGUGAAAUGCGUAGAUAUCUGGAGGAACACCGGUGGCGAAGGCGGCGUUCUGGACUGCUACUGACACUGAUGAACGAAAGCCAGGGGAGCAAACGGG
rnacentral:rRNA from 1 species